rnacentral:rRNA from 1 species
UACGUAGGUCCCGAGCGUUGUCCGGAUUUAUUGGGCGUAAAGCGAGCGCAGGUGGUUUAUUAAGUCUGGUGUAAAAGGCAGUGGCUCAACCAUUGUAUGCAUUGGAAACUGGUAGACUUGAGUGCAGGAGAGGAGAGUGGAAUUCCAUGUGUAGCGGUGAAAUGCGUAGAUAUAUGGAGGAACACCGGUGGCGAAAGCGGCUCUCUGGCCUGUAACUGACACUGAGGCUCGAAAGCGUGAGGAGCGAACAGG